UACGAAGGGGGCUAGCGUUGUUCGGAAUUACUGGGCGUAAAGCGCGCGCAGGCGGUUUUCCAAGUCAGUGGUGAAAGCCCGGGGCUCAACCCCGGAACUGCCUUUGAUACUGGUAGUCUCGAGUCCGGAAGAGGUGAGUGGAAUUCCGAGUGUAGAGGUGAAAUUCGUAGAUAUUCGGAGGAACACCAGUGGCGAAGGCGGCUCACUGGUCCGGUACUGACGCUGAGGUGCGAAAGCGUGGGGAGCAAACAGG
rnacentral:rRNA from 1 species